rnacentral:lncRNA from 1 species
UCAUAAGGAAUAGUUCCAGCAACCAAUUCCCAUAAAAUUAGUCCAAAGCCAUAAACAUCAACCUUCCUGCCAUAUGACUUGCGUUUGAUCAUCUCAGGUGCCAUCCAGCGGUAGGUACCAGGGUCAUCGGCCAGAGAAUAACAACAUUCCUCCUCACAAGCUAUUCCAAAAUCCGCAAUUUUCAGCUGGAAAUCUUGAUUAAUAAGUAUAUUCUCAGGUUUGAGGUCCCUGUGUAUGACGCCUUGUGAGUGAAUGAAUUCCAUUCCCCGAGCAAUGUCCAAAGCCAUCGAGAUUAGUUUUUUUAAGGGAAGAGAUUUCUGCUCAAGCUUGUGCAGGUAUGCCCUCAAUGAACCCUCUGAGAGAUAUUCUGUGAUGAUGCAGAAGACUGGUGGCUUUCUGCAUGCCGCUACGAACUGCAAGUAAAAGGAUAAAAAUAUCAGAAGAAUCCAACAAGAAACCCUAUGUUACAUGGACUCAGGUGUACGUCCGGGCGAAUAAUCUUUGUGGCUCCCAAAUUAGGAUACGGAAAGUGUCCAAAUGAAGGCUACGUAUAGGUGGGGCAUGUAUUUCAUGAUUAAAUUCAAUAUAAUUUAGAUAAUUUUCUACUAUUAAUGUUCAAAGAUAUACAUUACUAAGGUUUAUAUCAGAUGGGAUGUUGUGGGGAAGGAGUUUCAACUUUUUCUUCACUAAAGAAGUAAGAAUCUUUCAUUAUUCAAUAAUACAAUCUCUUACUUUUUAUUCCACACAUACAUAUAAGAGAUUGGAGCACCAAUUUCGCACAAGGGUGUCGGACACAUAUCCCAUAACCUUGUCCAGGUUUACAAUGUCCCACCCGUGUAGUUCAACCACCAAGAAGUCCAAGCAACAUAGAAAUAAACAUUUUCCCGACAAUCUCACAAUUGAUACACGUUGCCGUGAUGCAGGUCCCAACAAUAUUUUGUAGGAAGGCCAUCUGGUUAAUUCGUUAAUUUAUAAAUUACACCAAUGGAAAAUGAUAAAAGCUCAAAUGUCAAUCAGUUUCUGCCAUUACAAAUCAGUUAAUGGUAGAUAAUUAUUACUACUUAUAAAAAAAGUACAUAGAUUUUUAAGAUAAAGAUAUUAUUAGUUGUGCACCUGCCGGACUUCCACAAUCACGGUAUGGAUUGAUAAAGAGGGGGGAGGAAGAUAUGAGCAGUUACCUUUAUGACAUUUUGGUGGUGCAGUCGAGUCAAAAGAUUUACUUCUCUUCUGAACUGCUUCUCUAACCGAGCUCCAAGGGCUCCAUCUUUGUCAUCAUCCUGAACCCUGAUAAUUUUUACAGCAACAGGUUCAUCCUUAUAAAUCCCAUGGGAAAGUUGACUAUGUGGAAGCUUCCAACCGAUGAUAAAUGGUGUGAGAAUACUUUGUUCUCCUUAUCCAUGAAGCCUCUUCCCCCAUUUUUGGCCCCACAAAAUGACCUGGUAACCACAAAUAGUAUUGUUCUUCUCCUAAUUCAGAAGAAUAGACGGUUCAAAAUCAAGAUCAUCCAUUAAAGAAUCUAUGUCAUUUGCAAAGCUCCAAGUAACAAUUUUUUCUAAACCAUCAACAGGACAAAAGUAAAGAAUCCAAAGCCACAUCAACGGAAAUAUUAAAGCCCUUCAAAAUCCAUGAAUACAGAAACCAAAAACCAUACCAACAUAAUCUAAUCAAAUAAUCCUACAAAGCCCAACUCACAAACACAGAUCAAAGAGAAUGAUCUCAAGCCUUGACCUAUUCACCAAAUAUAAGAAAAACUUGAUCUUUUUAAGCAAUCGGAAUCAAAAUCCCUCAGAAACUAUCAAAACUCAGCAAGAACCAUCAAAAUCAGCUGAAUUUUGAGCUCAACCAAACCUCAUCCAAAACAACAAAUCCUUUUAGCCUCAAAGUCAAAUACAACCUACCUUGAAAGCCUGGAAAUCCCCACAAACAAACAUAUAAAAAUUUAAACAAUUAACUAGCAAAUCAAUAUAAUAAACCCAAAGCGAAAAGUAUACUCAAUUAAAUUGAAAAUAAAGAUCCAAAUACAUUGAACUUACCAAAAGGGUGUAUCUAAUUUGGGUUACUGCUCUUGUUCUUCAACAAAAUUCCUGUUUAAAAGAAACCCACUUAUACCGUAUCGAUCUAUCUGUCUUUCUCUUCUCUCCCCCAUGAAUAAUUUCACAGAGAGAGAAGAAAAAGGUAGAAUUUCCAAGAAAGGCACUGAUUCAAAAGAAAAGACUCCCUGUUAAAUACUCCAAUUCCAUACAAAUGUAAACGUAAUGAAUACGGAUCCUUGUGAACCGUAGAUGAUUCUGUGGGGUCCGGUUUAGUUGCUGAGCCAUGGAGGGGGCGGUGGUGCUAGCUAUGGUCCAUGGACCUCCAAAAAGUCAAGAAAGAAGAAUAAAGAAGAGAGAGAAAAUAAAAAGGAAUUUAAUAAGAAGAAUACAAGCGUCAUUAUCGUAGAAUGAGGUACGGAAAAAGAGAGAUUUAUUUAGGAGAAAUAAAAUAGUAGUACUAGUAAUAACAAAUAGGGGCUGUUUGUAUACGGCGAAAGGAAACGCAUCGCACGGAUAUGUUGUGAUUCCUCUUUGGUUAGUUGGAAUAGUACGGAAUUGUCCAAUAUGGAUGAAUGAAAAUGUAAUUUUAUGGGUAAAUAGUUUAUAUUUGUUUGAUUAAAAGUUUGAUUCGAACAUUCAAAAUAUAAAUGAGUCAAAUAUGAAUAAAUUUUAAAGUUCGAUAAAUUACUCGACUAUCCUAAAAUUAUAAUUUUUUAUUGAUACUCGGAUCAUAUUCGUUCGAAAAAUUCAAACCGUUCGGGCUCGAUUCAAAAUCGUACCCAACUCGGUAGCCAAAUGAUUCUCAAUCAAACCUUAUUUAUACUCGAUAAAUUUUGUGAAUCAAAUUUAAGUAAUUCAAUACUCAGCUCGACUCGAUUCAUUUAUACCCUUACAUGAAAAUAUAAGAGAAAUUUUAGAAAAUAAAAUUAUUAUUUUUUUUAAAAAAAAGCAUCUUCCGAGUAUCGUUCUUUAAAUGGCUAAGAAACUAUAGAUCAAUUUUAUUUAACAAAUAUUUAAUCAAUUAUAAAUGCAAAAUGUUCAAAUAAAAAGGACAUACGUCACUAUAUAAGUUUGGGUAUGAAGUUAAAACUAACAUGCAAGUUAAAGGAGAAUAAAUGUUCUCAACUUUUAUUUAAACCUUACUAUGAAAGAAUAAUGUUAGAGACAUAACUUACUUUAUAAUUAUUUUAUAAUUUGUUGUUGUAGUAUAUUUUAUCUCAACUGUUAUGUGAGAUCGAAGAAUACAUUGAAGCAAUUUGUUCAUCGAUAUGCUGAAGUAGAGUAUGCCACAUUAACAAAUUAUAAAAUAAUUAUAGAAUAAAUUAUGUCUCUAAUAUAACUUAUUAUGAAAUACAAUUAAUAAAAAUAGAGAUCCACUCUAUAAUAUAAAAUAAAAAGAUUCAAAAUAAAUGACUUUAGCUCUAUAAAAAGAAUUAAUUCUUAAAAAUACAUGUCACAUCGAGGUAGUUGAGAAGAAAAAACUAGAAAAUCUAUUUACCAUCACCUCAAUUACAACAAAGUAUUUUUUAUUUGCCUUCUAAACUUUGUUUAUAGCUUUAAAAUCUUUCAAAAUUGGAGUAAAAUGGGAGAAAAAGAGUCGAGCCAUUGGGAUAGAGAGUGAGAAUGAUGUACAGCUAUUGAACCUUAUGGCCCAACAAACAUGUAAGUCAUAAGUCAUAACUGUUAUGGGCUCCAACACUAAAACACGUGAAACUUAACCUUUUUUUCGGACCAACGGAACAUGUGAUCUGGUGUUGGGCACAGAUAGGAUAGGAAGGCUUUUAUUAUUCAGAAGUUAUUACCUCUACGGGCUACAUUUUACUUCACUUUUAUCUCCAUAUAAUAUUAGACAGUACUUUACUUUUAAAUAAUUGCAACCCGAAAAAGUUGGAACUGAUUAGAAUAAAGUUUAUUUUUGGGUAAAUUGAUGAAUUGAUCAAUAGAGUGCUGAUACACAGACGAGACUCUAUGUGUGUCAGCAUUCUAUUGGUCAAUUGACCAACUUAUCAAAAAAAUAAACUGCAUACUAACCGAAUCCGAAAAAGUUACAAUGUGAGAACUCGAGUAGAUUUUAUUUUAGUGUCAAACCAGACAUUGAUUAAUCAUAUAGGAUGUAUUAUGUGGGUAGAAUAUUGAUCAAUACUGUUUUAUCAAAUUUUUGGCGAUUACUUUUGAUACCACAUACCGAACAAACAAAUAUUUCAUGCCAUUUGCACCUUUCACUAAGGUAAAUCAUAAUUACCAUUAUAUAUUGUUUGGGUGUGCACUAUUGAGCAAUGAGAUUGAUGAUACAUUUGUAUGGUUAUUUGAGCGGUGGCUUGAAGCAAUUAAUGAAUUUCAAAUCUCAUAAGCAUUGUCAUUGAUCAAGAUCGUGCUAUGUCGAAUGCAAUUGCUAGGGUUUUUUUUCUCAUACCCACCAUGCAUUGUGUUCGUGGCAAAUUAGUAAAAAAUAUCCUAAAAAAUUUGACCAUGUCUAUUUUUCGUAUUUGACUUUUAAGUCAGAUUUUAACUACUUUAUCUUCAAGUCUUUGAGUAUACAAGAAUUUGAGAAUAAAUGUAAAUUGUUGAUGGAAAACUACGGACGGCAUAAUCACGAAUGGUUGAAAUGUUUAUAUGAAUUAAAAGAAAAAUGGGUCGGGGUAUAUUCAAAAAAAUUCUAUGCAGCGAAAAUGACUACCACAAAGCUAAAAUGUAAAUAGUAGUCGCAGGGGUCGCCUAUACUCCCGACGUUGAUCGUCUUAUUCUCUCUUGAUUAUGGCAUGUACAUUCAAUCUUCUCCCUUUUGUGCAAAGAAUCUAUGAAAGUCUGAAGACUAUGUGGAGACUCGAAGAUUGGGAAGGUAUAGAGUAAAGGUAUAUCUAAGUGGUCUUCAAUAAGGUAGAACAAGAGUCCUACUUGUAAUAUUAUGAUCAGUUCUAUAAAUAUUCAAAUUGUGCGGAUAUAUAUAUAUAUAUAUNNNNNNNNNNNNNNNNNNNNNNNNNNNNNNNNNNNNNNNNNNNNNNNNNNNNNNNNNNNNNNNNNNNNNNNNNNNNNNNNNNNNNNNNNNNNNNNNNNNNUCAAGCUUGUGCAGGUAUGCCCUCAAUGAACCCUCUGAGAGAUAUUCUGUGAUGAUGCAGAAGACUGGUGGCUUUCUGCAUGCCGCUACGAACUGCAAGUAAAAGGAUAAAAAUAUCAGAAGAAUCCAACAAGAAACCCUAUGUUACAUGGACUCAGGUGUACGUCCGGGCGAAUAAUCUUUGUGGCUCCCAAAUUAGGAUACGGAAAGUGUCCAAAUGAAGGCUAUGUAUAGGUGGGGCAUGUCUUUCAUGAUUAAAUUCAAUAUAAUUUAGAUAAUUUUCUACUAUUAAUGUUAAAAGAUAUACAUUACUAAGGUUUAUAUCAGAUGGGAUGUUGUGGAGAAGGAGUUUCAACUUUUUCUUCACUAAAGAAGUAAGAAUCUUUCAUUAUUCAAUAAUACAAUCUUUUACUUUUUAUUCCACAUACAUAUAAGAGAUUGGAGCACCAAUUCCGCACAAGGUUGUCGGACACAUAUCCCAUAACCUUGACCAGGUUUACAAUGUCCCACCCGUGUAGUUCAACCACUAAGAAGUCCAUGCAACAUAGAAAUAAACAUUUUCCAGACAAUCUCACAAUUGAUACACGAUGCCGUGAUGCAGGUCCCAACAAUAUUUUGUAGGAAGGCCAUCUGGUUAAUUCGUUAAUUUAUAAAUUACACCAAUGGAAAAUGAUAAAAGCUCAAAUGUCGAUCAGUUU